UACAGAGACUGCAAGCGUUAUUCGGAUUCACUGGGCGUAAAGCGUGCGCAGGCGGUGAUGUAAGACAGAUGUGAAAUCCCCGGGCUCAACCUGGGAACUGCAUUUGUGACUGCAUCGCUGGAGUGCGGCAGAGGGGGAUGGAAUUCCGCGUGUAGCAGUGAAAUGCGUAGAGAUGUGGAGGAACACCGAUGGCGAAGGCAGCCCCCUGGGCUGAGAUUGACGCUCAGGCACGAAAGCGUGGGGAGCAAACAGG
rnacentral:rRNA from 1 species